rnacentral:siRNA from 1 species
UGAUUGGCCUUCCAUCAAUCA